rnacentral:rRNA from 1 species
CUGUUGCUUGCAACAGCGAAUUGUAGUCUCGAGAGGCGUUUUCCCGGCGGACCUUCCCUGUCUAAGUUGCUUGGAACAGCACAUCAGAGAGGGUGACAAUCCCGUUCACGACAGGGUGGGCUGCCAACGAUACGCCUUCCAUGAGUCGGGUUGCUUGGGAAUGCAGCCCAAAAUUGGUGGUAAACUCCAUCUAAAGCUAAAUAUUGGCACGAGACCGAUAGCGAACAAGUACCGUGAGGGAAAGAUGAAAAGAACUUUGAAAAGAGAGUUAAAUAGUGCGUGAAACCGUUAGAGGGGAAACGGAUGCAGUUAGCAAUGCCUCGGCGAGAUUCAGACAAUCGCUAGGCCAGACGUGCAGUGUGUGGAUCCGUAUGGACUGUCGCUGUACGGCCUGGUCUUGUGCUCGUCGCACUUCUGGUCGGGGCGCGUCAACAGCUGCUCUAUCCGGGCGAUAAGACAUCCGGGAAGGUAGGCAUGUGCCUUGUGCAUGUGUUGUUAUAGCCCGCGGUGAUUCCAGCUCGGACGGGGCAGAGGCGAACGGUGCAUGCUCUGUUACGACAGGGCUGGCGCCCUUCUCUUGGCUGGAUGUCGACUAUGACGGACUGCUUGCAGUGCGUCUGAACUGCUUUCGGUCAUUCGGGAGGUCUACGCACACUAUGCACCUUGGCUGUUGGCGAUCAUAUGGCUUCAUCUGACCCGUCUUGAAACACGGACCAAGGAGUCUAACAUGUGCGCGAGUCUUGGGGUGACUGAAACCCAAAGGCACAAUGAAAGUAAAAUGGUGAGAUCUUCGUUCCGGCGAGGCGCAUCAUCGACCGACCUAUUCUACUCUUAGAAAGGUUUGAGUAAGAGCGCAUCUGUUGGGACCCGAAAGAUGGUGAACUAUGCCUGAGUAGGGUGAAGCCAGAGGAAACUCUGGUGGAAGCUCGUAGCGAUUCUGACGUGCAAAUCGAUCGUCGAACUUGGGUAUAGGGGCGAAAGACUAAUCGAACCAUCUA